UCUUUAAGAAUAUAAUUUAAAGUYUAAUCUGCUCCAUGAUAAAAUUAAAUAGCUGCAGAAUUUUAACUGUACAAAGGUAGCAUAAUCAAUAGUUUUUUAAUUAAAAGCUAGAAUGAAUGAUUUGAUAAGGUAGAUAUUGUCUCAAUUUUAUUGGAAAUAGAAUUUUUUUUUUAAUAAAAAAAUUAAAAUAAUUUUAAAAGACGAGAAGACCCUAUAGAUUUUUAUAAUUAUUUUUAUAAUAAAUUAAAAUUAUAUAAUAAAAUUAAAAAUAAAUUAUUAGAUUGGGGAAAUUAUUAAAUUAAAGAAAUUUUAAUAAAUUAUUGACUUAAAUUAAAGAAAUUUUGAUUUUAAAUAUUUAAAUAAAAAGAAUAAAUUACCUUAGGGAUAACAGCGUAAUAUUUUUUGGAGAGAUCUUAUUGAUAAAAAAGUUUGCGACCUCGAUGUUGAAUUAAGAUAAAAUAUUAAUGUAGAAGUUAGUAAUUUUUGGUCUGUUCGACCAUUAAAAUCUUACGUGAUC
rnacentral:rRNA from 1 species